rnacentral:rRNA from 1 species
UACGUAGGGUGCAAGCGUUAAUCGGAAUUACUGGGCGUAAAGCGUGCGCAGGCGGUUAUGUAAGACAGGUGUGAAAUCCCCGGGCUUAACCUGGGAACUGCAUUGUGACUGCAUAGCUAGAGUACGGUAGAGGGGGGGAUGGAAUUCCGCGUGUAGCAGUGAAAUGCGUAGAUAUGCGGAGGAACACCGAUGGCCGAAGGCAAUCCCCGUGGACCUGUGACUGACGCUCAUGACACGAAAGC